UACGAAGGGGGCUAGCGUUGUUCGGAUUUACUGGGCGUAAAGCGCACGUAGGCGGUUCGUUAAGUCGGAUGUGAAAGCCCUCGGCUCAACUGAGGAAGUGCACCCGAAACUGGCGAGCUUGAGUACGAAAGAGGAUCGCGGAAUUCCCGGUGUAGAGGUGAAAUUCGUAGAUAUCGGGAGGAACACCGGUGGCGAAGGCGGCGAUCUGGGUCGAUACUGACGCUGAGGUGCGAAAGCGUGGGGAGCAAACAGG
rnacentral:rRNA from 1 species